rnacentral:lncRNA from 1 species
GUGUGGAAUCAGCUGCCCGGUUCUGUCUGUCGAGUGAAUCUGACUAACACAGCAAGGCCCUGAUCGCCCACAUCGGUGCUCCCAGCAAACCUUCUGUCAUGUCUCUGAUGAUGUUUUCCUGCGGAGGUGAGACCGAGUCGGGCUGGAGGCCAGGCCUGGCCACUGACGUGGAGUGAUUUAUGGCAGAGAAGGUCCAGCCAGCCCAGAGUAUCCAGGUCCAGACGUGAAUUCCACACAGCGUGCCUCGGUAGCUCUGGGUUAAGUCCGCAGACGUCUGCAACGAAUAUGAUUGCAAGUGUGAAGGUGACAUGAUUUACUUAAAUCAGGCAAUUUCUCCAUUACAGCGCAGAAGCCUCAACUCGUAAAGACACUCUUCAGCAGAUGAACUAUAACGUCGCCCGGCAUCCGUCAUAUUAGGUGAUUUGAAAGGAAAGAACAAUUAUAAAAAUGAAUGUAAUUCCCUGUUGAAGAUUAAAAAAAUCCAGUUUUUGCAGCAGGGGGUGGUUAAUUUUCCCCAGAUAAAAACAGGUUUCACAGCAAUUCUGCUGCUAUAACACUCCACGUGCAAAACGUAAGAAGAAAAGGUUCCAGCCAAGGCAGACAGGAGCAGGAAUUAGCAGUUUGGGGGGCGGGAAGCGGGCUUCCCCUCCAGCAUCGGAGGUUAUUUUCUUCCCCACAGGAACAGCUCUGUUGCCAUAAACCUGCUGGUGUGCCCCCACCCCCCCACUUACCCGGGGUCUGAGCUGCUUUCAAUUAGCAGGGAUUAUUAACCUGGAAACAUUUUAAACCGCUGCCGAAGCUGCUUUCCUGCGUUAUGAGCUGAGCUAGAGCUGUCACAAUAAAAGCUGAUUGAUUAGCAAAGAAUGUACUCACAGCAACUGAUGCCCAGGGCCGUUCUCCACGCAUUUCACAGCCUCCCCUGCCCCCGAAUUUUGCGUUUUCAUUCUGAGAUUAACCUUGGUUUCUCUCUGGCACCUUCUACAGCCUGCAGGCUCUCAACUUCCCACUCCUCUGCCUGCCCUGGACCUGCUCUGUCUUCAAGCCCAGUCUCCCGCCUGGCCCCGGAGGAGCUACCCUCGUCAUCCACACUUGUCUUCCUUAGUCGGAAACAGAAGCUCUGCUGCCCUUCCCUCCCUGCACGGCAGACGUGCGACGUGGCCCUGGAGGAGGCCCCGUGUCCAGGAGGUCAGCUGUUGGAGGACUGGCUCUGUGUGAUCCUCUCUGGGCCUCAGUGUCCUCUUCGAUCCAUCAGGAUGUGA